rnacentral:rRNA from 1 species
AUGAACGCUGGCGGCGUGCCUAAUACAUGCAAGUCGAGCGAACAGACGAGGAGCUUGCUCCCCUGACGUUCGCGGCGGACGGGUGAGUAACACGUGGAUAACCUACCUAUAAGACUGGGAUAACUUCGGGAAACCGGAGCUAAUACCGGAUAAUAUAUUGAACCGCAUGGUUCAAUAGUGAAAGACGGUUUUGCUGUCACUUAUAGAUGGAUCCGCGCCGCAUUAGCUAGUUGGUAAGGUAACGGCUUACCAAGGCAACGAUGCGUAGCCGACCUGAGAGGGUGAUCGGCCACACUGGAACUGAGACACGGUCCAGACUCCUACGGGAGGCAGCAGUAGGGAAUCUUCCGCAAUGGGCGAAAGCCUGACGGAGCAACGCCGCGUGAGUGAUGAAGGUCUUCGGAUCGUAAAACUCUGUUAUUAGGGAAGAACAAAUGUGUAAGUAACUAUGCACGUCUUGACGGUACCUAAUCAGAAAGCCACGGCUAACUACGUG